AAUGGACGAAAGUCUGACGCAGCAACGCCGCGUGGGUGAUGAAGGUCUUCGGAUUGUAAAACCCUGUCGUCGGGGACGAAGGUGUGGAUGUUAAUAGCGUUCAUGCUUGACGGUACCCGGAGAGGAAGCCCCGGCUAACUCUGUGCCAGCAGCCGCGGUAAUACAGAGGGGGCAAGCGUUAUUCGGAAUUAUUGGGCGUAAAGGGCGCGUAGGCGGUGAUUCAAGUUGGAUGUGUAAUCCCCGGGCUCAACCUGGGAACUGCAUCCAAGACUGGAUUGCUAGAGUGCUGGAGAGGGUGGUGGAAUUCCUCGUGUAGCGGUGAAAUGCGUAGAGAUGAGGAGGAACACCAGUGGCGAAGGCGGCCACCUGGACAGUAACUGACGCUGAGGCGCGAAAGUGUGGGGAGCAAA
rnacentral:rRNA from 1 species